rnacentral:rRNA from 1 species
UAGGGAAUCUUCGGCAAUGGACGGAAGUCUGACCGAGCAACGCCGCGUGAGUGAAGAAGGUUUUCGGAUCGUAAAGCUCUGUUGUUAGAGAAGAACGUUGGUAGGAGUGGAAAUCUACCAAGUGACGGUAACUAACCAGAAAGGGACGGCUAACUACGUGCCAGCAGCCGCGGUAAUACGUAGGUCCCGAGCGUUGUCCGGAUUUAUUGGGCGUAAAGCGGGCGCAGGCGGUUCUUUAAGUCUGAAGUUAAAGGCAGUGGCUUAACCAUUGUACGCUUUGGAAACUGGAGGACUUGAGUGCAGAAGGGGAGAGUGGAAUUCCAUGUGUAGCGGUGAAAUGCGUAGAUAUAUGGAGGAACACCGGUGGCGAAAGCGGCUCUCUGGUCUGUAACUGACGCUGAGGCUCGACAGCGUGGGGAGCAAACAGG